rnacentral:rRNA from 1 species
AUUGAACGCUGGCGGAAUGCUUUACACAUGCAAGUCGAACGGCAGCACGGGGGCAACCCUGGUGGCGAGUGGCGAACGGGUGAGUAAUACAUCGGAACGUGCCCAGUCGUGGGGGAUAACGUAGCGAAAGCUACGCUAAUACCGCAUACGAUCUACGGAUGAAAGCGGGGGAUCGCAAGACCUCGCGCGAUUGGAGCGGCCGAUGGCAGAUUAGGUAGUUGGUGGGGUAAAGGCUCACCAAGCCGACGAUCUGUAGCUGGUCUGAGAGGACGACCAGCCACACUGGGACUGAGACACGGCCCAGACUCCUACGGGAGGCAGCAGUGGGGAAUUUUGGACAAUGGGCGCAAGCCUGAUCCAGCCAUUCCGCGUGCAGGAUGAAGGCCUUCGGGUUGUAAACUGCUUUUGUACGGAACGAAACGGCCUUUUCUAAUACAAGAGGCUAAUGACGGUACCGUAAGAAUAAGCACCGGCUAACUACGUG